UUUCCGGUUGAUCCCGCCAGAGGCCACUGCUAUCAGAGUUCGAUUAAGCCAUGCGAGUCGAGAGGUGCAAGACCUCGGCAUACUGCUCAGUAACACGUGGACAAUCUAACCUACGGAAGAGGAUAACCCCGGGAAACUGGGGAUAAUACUCUAUAGACUAUGGAAGCUGGAAUGCUCUGUAGCCGAAAGGUCCGCCGCCGUAGGAUGGGUCUGCGGCCGAUUAGGUUGUUGUUGGGGUAACGGCCCAACAAGCCUGUAAUCGGUACGGGUUGUGGGAGCAAGAGCCCGGAGAUGGAUUCUGAGACACGAAUCCAGGCCCUACGGGGCGCAGCAGGCGCGAAAACUUUACAAUGCGGGAAACCGUGAUAAGGGAACUCUGAGUGCCCGUUAAAUCGGGCUGUCCAUCAGUUUAAAAAACUGGUGAAGAAAGGGCCGGGCAAGACCGGUGCCAGCCGCCGCGGUAAUACCGGCGGCUCGAGUGGUGGCCACUAUUACUGGGCUUAAAGCGUUCGUAGCUGGUUUGUUAAGUCUCUGGGGGAAAUCUUCCGGCUUAACCGGAAGGCGUCUCAGGGAUACUGGCAGACUAGGGACCGGAAGAGGUGAGAGGUACUCCAGGGGUAGGAGUGAAAUCCUGUAAUCCUUGGGGGACCACCUGUGGCGAAGGCGUCUCACCAGGACGGCUCCGACAGUGAGGGACGAAAGCUGGGGGAGCAAACCGGAUUAGAUACCCGGGUAGUCUCAGCCGUAAACGAUGUGCAUUAGGUGUAUCGGUGACCACGAGUCACCGAGGUGCCGAAGAGAAAUCGUGAAAUGCACCGCCUGGGAAGUACGGUCGCAAGGCUGAAACUAAAAGGAAUUGGCGGG
rnacentral:rRNA from 1 species